UACAUAGGCCCCAAGCGUUAUCCGGAAUUACUGGGCGUAAAGAGUUCGUAGGCGGAGAAACAAGUCAGAUGUGAAAGAUACGGGCUCAACCCGUUAUUAGCAUCCGAAACUGUUUCCCUAGAAUUAGGGAGAGGUAAGCAGAACUGUAUGAGUAGGGGUGCAAUCCGUUGAUACAUACAAGAAUACCAAAAGCGAAGGCAGCUUACUGGAACUAUAUUGACGCUGAGGAACGAAAGCGUGGGGAGCGAAAAGG
rnacentral:rRNA from 1 species